rnacentral:rRNA from 1 species
GAGAUGUCGUUUCCCUUGUGGCCUGUGUGCAGGUGGNGCAUGGCUNGUCGUCAGCUCGUCGUCGUGAGAUGUUGGGUUAAGUCCCGCAACGAGCGCAACCCUUGUCUCAUNGUGCCAGCACGUUAUGGUGGGGACUCGUGAGAGACUGCCGGGGUCAACUCGGAGGAAGGUGGGGAUGACGUCAAGUCAUCAUGCCCCUUAUGUCCAGGGCUUCACACAUGCUACAAUGGCCGGUACAAAGGGCUGCGAUGCCGUGAGGUGGAGCGAAUCCUUUCAAAGCCGGUCUCAGUGUCGGGGUCUGCAACUCGACCCCGUGAAGUCGGAGUCGCUAGUAAUUCGCAAAUCAGCAAGCGCU